UAGGUAUGUGUUAAGAUCAGGGGUGUUCACAAGCUCUGUGCUUCUAGGUAUGUGUUCACAUCUGCAGUGUUCACAAGCUGUGUGCUUCUAGGUAUGUGUUAAGAUCAGGGGUGUUCACAAGCUCUGUGCUUCUAGGUAUGUGUUCAGAUCUGCGGUGUUCACAAGCUGUGUGCUUCUAGGUAUGUGUUAAGAUCAGGGGUGUUCACAAGCUCUGUGCUUCUAGG